AGAACUCUGAGCACAACUCCCCCGGGAAGCUGGCUUCUAUAGGCUGCAUGACAUGGAAUGUCGUGAGAACAAACGAGUUUGGAAGAAGACCAGAAGACUCUACCUCACCAUGUAAAUGGAGGAUUCAGGAAUUUUGGUACGUGUCAAGCAGAGGGUGCCGAUGUGACCAGCCCCAGUGAAAAUCUUGGGGGCCGGAUCUCUAAUGGGCUUUCGUGGACAGAAUCAUCACGCACGUUGCCACAUUUCCAUUGCAUCACGCACGUUGCCACAUUUCCGUUGCUAUGAUGAAUCUCAGCUGGACAAGGCCUGGCACGGGCCAGGUGACCAAGAGGAGGGCAGGACCCGAGCCAAGGCCUCCCUCCACGCGUCCCAGUGCCGGGCGCAUCGGAGGAGGGCAGGAAAUCCCUGCUGGCUGCAGGAGAGAUGACUGAAUACAAAAUAAAGUGGGAUCAAAGGA